GACGAACGCUGGCGGCGUGCUUAACACAUGCAAGUCGAACGGAAAGGCCCUGCUUUUGUGGGGUGCUCGAGUGGCGAACGGGUGAGUAAGACGUGAGUAACCUGCCCUUGACUUUGGGAUAACUUCAGGAAACUGGGGCUACUACCGGAUCGGAGCUCCUGCUGCAUGGUGGGGGGUGGAAAGAUACGGCGGUUGGGGAUGGACUCCCGGCUAAUCAGCUUGUUGGUGGGGGAGUGGCUUACCCAGGCUGUGAAGGGUAGCCGGCAUGAGAGGGUGAACGGCCACAAGGGUACUGAGGGACGGACCAGACUCCAACGGGAGGCAGCAGGCGCGAAUAUUGCACAAUGGGCGCAAGUCGGAUGCAGCAACGCCGCGUGCGGGAUGACGGCCUUCUGGUUGAAAACCGCUUUAGCCUGAUACGAAGCGUGAGUGACGGUAAUGAAUAAAGAAGCACCGGCUAACUACGUG
rnacentral:rRNA from 1 species